rnacentral:rRNA from 1 species
AACGAACGUUGGCGGCGUGGGUUAGGCAUGCAAGUCGUACGCGAAGGAGGGGGCAACUCCUCGAGUAAAGUGGCGAACGGGUGAGUAACGCGUAGGAAACCUGCCUUCGAGAUGGGGAUAACACUCCUAACGGGGUGCUAAUACCGAAUGACACUGCGGGAUCGCAUGGUUCUGCAGUCAAAGGUGGCCUCUGCUUGCAAGCUACCACUCAAAGAUGGUCCUGCGUCCCAUUAGCUAGUUGGCGGGGUAACGGCCCACCAAGGCGACGAUGGGUAGCCGAUCUGAGAGGAUGACCGGCACACUGGGACUGAGAUACGGCCCAGACUCCUACGGGAGGCAGCAGUCGAGAGCUUCGGCAAUGGGGAAACCCUGACCGAGCGACGCCGCGUGGAGGAUGAAGGCCUUUGGGUUGUAAACUCCUGUCAUGUGGAAGAAACGCCACCGUUCUAAUAGGACGGUGGUUUGACGGUACCACAAGAGGAAGCUCCGGCUAACUCCGUGCCAGCCGCCGC